AUGUUUAUUAAAUCAGUUUCACCUUCCAGGGUAUGGCUGACCGUAUAAUCAGGAUGAGAACUUCACUUAGGGAAAACAUCGAGAAGUUGGGCUCUCCGUUAUCAUGGGAACACAUAACUAAUCAGAUUGGCAUGUUCUUCUAUAGUGGAAUGACUCCUGAACAAGUUGAUUGCUUGACAAAAGAGUUUCACAUUUACAUUGUUGUAGCGGGCCAUGCUUAUUGUUCUAAUUGUUGUAGCUGGCCAUGCUUAUCGUUUUGCUAAUUGUUAUGAUAGGACAUAAAAAACUG